GUGGGGAAUAUUGGACAAUGGGCGCAAGCCUGAUCCAGCAAUGCCGCGUGUGUGAAGAAGGUCUUCGGAUCGUAAAGCACUUUCGACGGGGACGAUGAUGACGGUACCCGUAGAAGAAGCCCCGGCUAACUUCGUGCCAGCAGCCGCGGUAAUACGAAGGGGGCUAGCGUUGCUCGGAAUUACUGGGCGUAAAGGGCGCGUAGGCGGCUCUGUGAGUCAGGCGUGAAAUUCCUGGGCUUAACCUGGGGACUGCGCUUGAUACUGCAGGGCUUGAGGCCGAGAGAGUGUGGUGGAAUUCCCAGUGUAGAGGUGAAAUUCGUAGAUAUUGGGAAGAACACCGGUGGCGAAGGCGACCACCUGGCUCGGUACUGACGCUGAGGCGCGACAGCGUGGGGAGCAAACAGGAUUAGAAACCCGGGUAGUCC
rnacentral:rRNA from 1 species